UACGGAGGGUGCGAGCGUUGUCCGGAAUCAUUGGGCGUAAAGGGCGCGUAGGUGGCCCGGUCAGUUCGUGGUGAAAGCGCGGGGCUCAACCCUGCGUCGGCCAUGAAUACUGCCGCGGCUGGAGCACUGUAGAGGCAGGCGGAAUUCCGGGUGUAGCGGUGGAAUGCGUAGAGAUCCGGAAGAACACCGGUGGCGCAAGGCGGGUCAGCUGGGGCAGUGACUGAACGGCUGAGAGUGCGAAAAGCGUGGGGAGCAAACAGGG
rnacentral:rRNA from 1 species